GUAGUCCACGCCCUAAACGAUGUCUACUAGUUGUUGGUGGAGUAAAAUCCAUGAGUAACGCAGCUAACGCGUGAAGUAGACCGCCUGGGGAGUACGAUCGCAAGAUUAAAACUCAAAUGAAUUGACGGGGGCCCGCACAAGCGGUGGAUUAUGUGGAUUAAUUCGAUGCAACGCGAAAAACCUUACCUGGCCUUGACAUGUACCGAAUUUACCAGAGAUGGUUUAGUGCUCGAAAGAGAACGGUAACACAGGUGCUGCAUGGCUGUCGUCAGCUCGUGUCGUGAGAUGUUGGGUUAAGUCCCGCAACGAGCGCAACCCUUGCCAAUAAUUGCCAUCAUUUAGUUGGGCACUUUAUUGGGACUGCCGGUGAUAAGCCGAGA
rnacentral:rRNA from 1 species